rnacentral:misc_RNA from 1 species
GAUGAAGAACGUAGCGAAAUGCGAAAAGUAAUGUGAAUUGCAGAAUUCAGUGAAUCAUCGAAUAUUUGAACGCACAUUGCGCCCGCCAGUAUUCUGGCGGGCAUGCCUGUCUGAGCGUCAUUUCAACCCUCAUGCCCCUAGGGCGUGGUGUUGGGGAUCGGCCAGCGCCCGCGAGGGACGGCCGGCCCCUAAAUCUAGUGGCGGACCCGUCGUGGCCUCCCCUGCGAAGUAGUGAUAUUCCGCAUAGGAGAGCGACGAGCCCCUGCCGUUAAACCCCCAACUUUCUAAGGUUGACCUCAGAUCAGGUAGGAAUACCCGCUGAACUUAAGCAUAUCAAUAAGCGGAGGA